rnacentral:sRNA from 1 species
CUGCUUCACUCAGAUUAGUCUACACAUCCGCAUACUCGACUCAGAGACAUUCUCAAAACAGCUUUCUGACCAUUUAGGAGUAACAGGAGAGGUUCAAUCAUUAUCACAGCGAGAAUCAGAGUUUCUCAAGGGAAUAAGGUCCCUUUCUCAAAGUCAGUGACCUCUCCUGUCUUUAAGCUCGUGCACCCUUU